rnacentral:lncRNA from 1 species
CACUAGAGAGAGUAAGAAAGGGCUAGCCGAUUUUCAUGAAGUGUAGAAUUCUCUCAAGUUAUUCCAUGUGUAUUUGGUGUUGUGUGAACCAUUUGAGGUGUCACACUUGGGGCACUAGGCACUCAAGCUUCAUGAAGACUUUCUACAUCAAAGAGGUAUGUAUUCUAUCUUGCUAUAGUCAUUGUUUUGUAUGCUAGAUUAGGAUAAUACCUUGGAAGUUCUUAUUUGCAUGUAUAAUAGAGAAAACAUAGAUCCAAGGUAUUUAGGGUUGCAUGUACACUUAGGAGUGUUAGAAUGCUCAAAACCCAACAGUGGUAUCAGAGCCUAGGCUUGUUUUCUUGUUAUACCUGCAAUAGAAGCUGAAAAAACGAAUUUGGUGCUGUCUGAUCAUCAGACUCGGCGAGUCCAUCAGGAGACUCGGCGAGUCCAUGCCUAAAAAGUGAUGAAUUCGAUCCAACUCGCCGAGUUGGUUCAUGCACUCGACGAGUUGGACCCCCAGACAGCAUAUUUUCGAGUUUUUUGGCUAGAAAUGGACUAGGAACAUUACCCUAAGUUGUUUUUGAACUUAUAAACUUGUUUUUGAUGUGGUAAUGUUCAUGCUAAUCCAUUUUCAAAGAUAAUUGUCAAUAGAUUCAUGUUUUGUAUUAGUUUAAGGUUUAGACUAAUUACAUGAAAAAGUUUGAUUUGAAUUAUCUUGUUCUUAUGAGUUGCUUAGAUUAAUAGAAAUGUUGAGUGAAAUAGUUGUUUUCAAUCCAUUUUAAUCUAAGAGUUGAGUAUAAAAUGUGUUUGUGUAACUUGUCCUCAAGUUACAUGAAGAGUCACAUUAAAGACUCAUAAAACUCAUAAAAGUUGGCAAUGGUUACAAAAUGAAGAGUCUUGUGUCAUUGAAUAAUUUUUUUUGACUCCAUAACUUGUCCUCAAGUUAUGGAAGUUCAAGAGUCACUUCAUUAAAGAAAAAUAUGUAACCAUAAUUAAAUCCAUAAGUUAUAAAAUAAAGAAAAAGUUAGUUCUUUUAUUAGUUUAAAGUCUUCCAUAACUUGUCCUCAAGUUAUGGAACUUGAAGAGUUUUUGGAUUAAAACUACUUUAAACACAUAAGUUAUGGAAUUAAUUAGUUUUGAAUAGUUUCAAAACUUGCCCUCAAGUUUUGGAAUUUGAAAAGUUUUCAAGUAUGAAUACUUUAAUUCCAAGUUAGCCCUUAGAAUUUUAAAAGUUAAAAUUCAACCCUUAUACUUUAUAAUAUUAUAAGUUAAUAAUAUAUAUAUGUAUAAGAGUAAAGUCAGUCUUACCGCUAGUACGCCUCAUUCACGAAGCCGGUCUAUAAGGUGGGUAUAAGGUUGUUGCCUAUAAAAUGGCAACUUAAUGGGUGUCCACUCUCACCCACCGCUUGCUUGACUGGUGGAGGGUCGUUAGCCGAACGGGUUUGACAGGACUAGAAUUCUCCCUUCAUUAAAAGUAUUAAUGAUAAUACUAAGUAACUAAACUCUUAAUAAUACCCAAUCUUAGUUACUUAGGAAAAAUGUGAAUAAGGUGCUAAUCCAUGAAAUUACACUUUACACUUUGUCUAAGUCGUUAGUGGAGCGUGUGUGGUUAACCGGCACACUAACUUGGACUUAACAAGGUAGGUAAAGGGUGACUUAAUAUUUAUCAUAGUAUCGAUGGAGCGUGUGUGGUUAACCGGCACAUCGAUUGAGGGGUAAUUUAUUAAGGGUACCAAGUGAUUUGCAUGGUUACUUCACACCUUGUUUUGUGAUCCUCGGCAUCCCAGUCACAAAACCUGAAGGGCACACUCGAGAUUGAAACAUGCCUUUGAAAAGUUCAAUGAAUCUCAAAGAUCUAGGAGUUUCAAAACCAAUUAAAACCUAAUAAUACAUUUCGUUUAUCUUGGUGGAAAUUGGUGAAUCGUCAUUCACCUACCUUCAAAUAUUUUAUAGCUUGGAUUACGGCAUACCUCUUCUAAGUUAUAAAAUAGUUUGUUGGGUCCUAGCCUUAAUAUUUCAUAUUGGGUGUCAUAUUAAGGACUUUAAAUCAACUAUCUUGAAUAUCUCCCAAAAGAUGUCUGGUUUAGACACCUAUGAUCUUCCCAAAUCUCUUGAAACAAGGUUUCCUAAUGAAGAUGAUGUCCCAUGGAUAUCAUACUUCUUCACCUCUUCAAAUUAUUCUCCCUAACCCACAAGUUCUUGAAAAGUUUAAGGUCACUCAGGCCCUAUUAGCAAGGCAAGGUCUAGGUGUGGUCACAUCUUGGAGAUGUAGUCACAUAUUGACAAGCCGGGAGAGUUGGGUGUCAAAGUCUUGAGAAAGUUGGUGGUUCAACCACUUUCUAAGUCACAUAGUGAGUUCCUUUGGGACACCUAUGAAACAGACUAUGACAAGACCCUUAAUGAUCUUAUCUAUUUGCUAAGAUCAACUUCCUAAAACUUUAUGGACAUUGACAAUGAUGACAUUGGAUAUCCAGUAAAGCAUUCUCUUCCCAAUGGAAAGGGAUCGGCCAUAGUCAACUCGGUUGACCAAAUGGUAAAGAGAAAAGCUAAGUCUGUGAUAGUCCCGUGUACCAUUAUCAAAGGGUCCAUAUGUUUAUAUUGCCAAAGGAAGGGGCAUUGGUUGCGAAGCUGCCAAAUUUACCUAAGGAUGUUAAAGUCAAUAAGUUUGACUCUACUUCAGGUAAAGUCCACUAUCUAACUCUGUUAAGUUUCUAUUCUGAGAUUCUUGAUACAUGAUGUGACUGGGUCACAUGGUGAUGUUUUAAGAAUCAAAGAAAAGUGAAGAAACUUAAAGAAAGAAUAUGCUGAAUCUGAUGGCGUAGAUGGAUUUCUAUCGCAUAGUUUGAAGAUCGGAUUCUUGAGCUACUUCUUAGGAGUUAUGAGAUAUUGCUUAGGAAUAGAUAACAACAAGUUUUCAUAUGGAUUGUAAGGAUAAGUUUUUCCGCAAAGUUUUAAAAUAAAAGAAAAUUUUUUUGAUUUUAUUUAUUUUAAAAUAUCCUUACAAUGGCUUUUGAGGAAAAAUUGUUGCUUAUAUGAUUCCAUUAAGAGCAAGAGUGGAAAUAUGAAAUUGAUUCUUUCAUUUGUGGUAAUGUCUAGAUUUACCAAAUAAGGAAAGAUUCUCAUCACCCAAGUUUCAAUUGGACCGGAACUUGGAAUCAUGCAAGUUGUAUAGCAUGAUGAAUGAGAACUUUCAAGUUUUGGAAAAUUAAGACUAAUUACUUGUUCACAUGGAUGUGUGAGUCAAGUAAAGGACUAAGGGAUCGAGUACACAUUCUUGUGCACUGAUUAAGUCCACCACUAAAGAUCGAUAAGAAGAAUCAAAUAAGGCAGAAGGAUAAAAGUUUCUCAAAUCUGAAAAGAUGGGAGAGUACUUUAGUAUCAGUUUUGUGAUCAUCUUAAUGAUUAAGAAACCAUAUCAAAAUUAGUUCUCUAAGGAAAUCUUAGUGCAUUCUUAUGACUAAGAAGAGGAACUUGAAUUGUUGAAAUGGUUAAAUCAAGAAGAUGAGUCAUACUUCGUUCCAAUACAAGUCUUAGAGUCAUACUCCAAGAUUGUCAUUUGAGUGACAUGUCUUAAAGAAGGUUUAAAACACUUGUCAAAUGUAAGAGUAAAAGUUUUCUACUCUUGUACAUUUGAAAUUGGUAAGUUGUGAUGUUUUGGAUAAAACAAAGACCAACUUAGGCCAAUUGGGUAAAGUGUUUUUCUUGAUUAGAAUCCGCACUAUCUCUUGGAUGUUUGACAAGGGAGUCUUAUAUGUCAAGAGGACAGUGGGAGUCUUAAAGGUCUUGAAAGUCUCAAGAAAUAAUCAAGAAUAAAACCUAAAGUUCUUCACUAGCACACGACUUGAGGUUUAUAACCUAUCGUGUUGACAUAUCUGUGCCCAUUCCAGUUAAAGUUGGCUUUGCAUAUGAGUUCUUAGAGUUCUCAGUUUGUUGCAUAACAACUUGGAAGCAAUGGCAGGCCCUUGAGCUGCCAGGUGGCAAGAAGUUAAGAUUGAGUUCAAUCCAUAUGGUUUUGGAUUUGUCAUUAUCUUUGUCUUGUGAUUAUGGUUUGACAAAUUCAUAUGGGUAGGAACUCAUACACCAUAUAAAUCUAAGUGUCAUAAGGUUUCUCUCCGAUUCAUGAAAAUGAUGGUGAGGAAACGCUUUCACUAAGUAGAUUUUACGAAGAUAUCAAUUGUGUUAUUUGCAUUUUCAAAAGUCGUUAGUGGAGCGCGUGUGGUUAACCGGCACACUAACAUGGACUUGUGAGAAAUGGCAAAUGCCUAAGCAAUUGAGACCAUGAUUACGGUAUCCCUUUUCAUGGUUCUUGAAAUUGCUUAGACACACAGGUGAGCUAUCUACGGAAAGGGUGUAUGAAUCUAAAUUUCAGACUGUCCAGCUGAUUUCUGAGUACAUGUCAAAGCUAGUGGGAGCAUAAGUGUUAUGCUAAUAAUCAUCAUGUUAGUGGGAGCAUGAUAAUUAUGAUAAGUAUUGCAAGUUAGCAAUGUUAAUUAUAGAAAACAAAAGUUUCAAUUGGGAAAAAGUUGUUUUGCUAUAAUUAAGGGAGAGGAAAUUAUGCUUCAUCUCAAAUCUAUAAGCUUAGAUCGUGAGGUUUUAAUCAUUUAGUCAAGGAUAUAUAUGAAUUUCAUGUUGGAAUGGCUCAACAUAAGGAAAUUCUGUAUAUGGGUCCAUUAUUUGCGUUCUAAAAUUCGAUUAUGAUUACGGCAUCCCUUUUCAUAAUCUGAAUUAUGAGAACUUGGCAAAUUGAAAUGGAAAUAUUAUAGCAAAAGACUGGUUUAGUCUUUAUGUAAGACAUCAUGAAUCGUGUCCCAUAUGCUUCGGAUAUAGGAUCGAUUACAUGUGCUAUAUUCAUCCGUUCUAAAAUUUUCCAAAUGCCUGGGGCAUUAAGAAGGGAAAAGGUUUAGAACUGGAUAUGACUAAAAGGAUUAAACAAUUGUCGAGGACAAUCUAAGGUUUACCAAAGAUUGGUUACUCAAGGACAAUUGGAAGUAUAGUGAUAAUUCUGGAAGGACCAUAUUGACAUAAUCUGUAAGGAGGCAACUCUUGUUCAGAAGUGAUAGUCAAAAUGGAAUCUGGAAAUGUUUCAAAGUUAGAAUUUUCAAUCUGUGUAAGAUUAAGGAAACUUAAUGCAAGAAGGAUAUUUCCAAGGAGUUGAUCUCCUUUGGAAUACUCUGUAAUGAUUGUUGCCAAGUCUUUGUGACUUUGUGCAUAAUCAUUACAAGAGGAUCAAUGCAUAUAAGUUUAGAAUCUAACAGAUUUCAGUAAAUGGCAUGAAUUUGGAAUUCUUGCAUUUGCAGUAAGGAUUUGGGAGUGUGAAAAGAGAAUCAUUGAAGUUAUGUUCAAUUGAUCUAGUUCACAAAGUAAAGAUCAUAGACAAACAUAGUAUGCAUACUUGGUGUGUGGCAUGACUAGUGUUUAAGAAAACAUAGUGUACAUGCUUGGAGCAUGGGACAACUAUUGUUUUAAAUUCAAGAAUAAAGUUGAUAGCUGAAACAGUAUACAAUGAAUAAUGUGUAAUCAUAUGGUGAUAAAUAAAAGGUGUUUUAUUUAUGUUCAAAGGGUUGAUACCAUAUUGGAUUCAAUUAUUAUUGUGUUUCAUUUUGCAUGUUUUGACUUCCCGAAUAAACUGGGUUAUUCUUCCGGAAUGACUAAGUUAUUCAAACCAUCCACAGUCGGUCAUAUGUUGGAAGUAGAUAUGAAUUAAGACUGUCAUGGGUUGGCUUGUAGAGGUCUAAGGUGUUGGACAAAGGGCUACAACACUCAUGAGUGCUCAUAAGUUCUGAGUAUUGGAUUCAACCCGCGCUCAUUGGAAUCACUUCAUGGAUUUUAUCACGAGUGAUCAUGAGACGAUAAUAUCUUAUAUUCUUCAAACCUAGAGAUAUGAGUUGUUACUAUGAGUUGAUAGUACAUUGAUUGCACGAAAACGCAUUUGGUAACUCGGUGCUAUAAAACGUGCCUUUGUGUAUGAUUCAACAAGUAGUAGAACAAGCCAUAUGAGUCGAAGUUUAUCCAUUCCUUUUACCUUCGGGAUAAAAGCGAUAUCUGUGGGCCCCUCGAUGAUUUGAUGAUGACAAAUGGAAGUGCUCGGCCGGGCCAGGACUGAUUUGAUUUGUUCAAUUAGUCAGUCGUCAUAAAUCGGAAAUCGGGAAACAACAAAUGGACAGAGAGAAUGAUUAUAAUCCAUGUCUCAGUCCAUAUGAUAUCUAGAAUGGAGGAAUAUAUGAUCCCUUAUCUAAUGGACAAGUCAUUGACAAAGGUCAGAGUUCAUCUACAAGGUCAGAGUUCGACAGAAGCUUUUGAGAGCUACGAUUGCCAGUUGGUUCCUGAAGUCAUACGCAAUAAUAGUUUUAGACUUAUCCAAGUGGGAGACUGUUGGAUUAAUGUCUAAGUCCAUAACUAUAAUUGGUAAGACUUGACCCGACCCGGCAUGGUCCAUUUGGGUUGCAUGGCAUCAUGCACUUGGAUAGACUAAAUGAGAGAAAUAAGACACUUAUGGUUAUUAAUAUAUUAUAAGUUCUAGUAUAUUAAUAAUAAGAAUAAUAAGAUUAUUUAAUUAGUAUUGAUCAAGAAUUAAUCUAGGAUUAAUUAAGUGAUCAAAAGAAGACUAAUUAAAUAUAUGGGUUGAUUGUGUAAAUCAUCCAUACUUGUAUAGUGGGCUAAUGCUCCAUGGAUAAUCAAGUUGGGCUAAAACCCAUAGGAUGGUUCAUGGAUGCUCCAUGGUGUAUUUGAACCCAUGGAUCCAAGGAAAUGGAAAGCCAUGACAAUUAAGGGUUUACCCUAAUUGUAACACUAUAUAAAGAUCACAUUCUUGGGAAAAAUCGGCCACUAGAGAGAGUAAGAAAGGGCUAGCCGAUUUUCAUGAAGUGUAGAAUUCUCUCAAGUCAUUCCAUUUGUAUUUGGUGUUGUGUGAACCAUUUGAGGUGUCACACUUGGGGCACUAGGCACUUAAGCUUCAUGAAGACUUUCUACAUCAAAGAGGUAUGUAUUCUAUCUUGCUAUAGUCAUUGUUUUGUAUGCUAGAUUAGGAUAAUACCUUGGAUGUUCUUAUUUGCAUGUAUAAUAGAGAAAACAUAGAUCCAAGGUAUUUAGGGUUGCAUGUACACUUAGGAGUGUUAGAAUGCUCAUAACCCAACAUAACAUACACAAGGAUGAUAGGCUGCCAUGGAAUUGAUGUAAAUCUGCGAUGUAGUCGUAACAUUCACCAGAUUGAGGUAGGCCAUGGUAGGAGUGGUCAUUGGGCUGAAAGAGGAUCAAUGCAUGCCUG